rnacentral:rRNA from 1 species
UGAAUACGUUCCCGGACCUUGUACACACCGCCCGUCAAGCCAUGGAAGCUGGGUGUACCUAAAGUCGAUAACCGCAAGGAGUCGCCUAGGGUAAAACUAGUAACUGGGGCU